GAUGAUGAACGUAGCGAAAUGCGAUAAGUAAUGUGAAUUGCAGAAUUCAGUGAAUCAUCGAAUCUUUGAACGCACAUUGCGCCCGCCAGUAUUCUGGCGGGCAUGCCUGUUCGAGCGUCAUUUCAACCAUCAAGCCCCAGGCUUGUGUUGGGGACCUGCGGCUGCCGCAGGCCCUGAAAACCAGUGGCGGGCUCGCUAGUCACACCGAGCGUAGUAGCAUACACAUCGCUCAGGGCGUGCUGCGGGUUCCGGCCGUUAAACCCCUUUUUUACCCAAGGUUGACCUCGGAUCAGGUAGGAAGACCCGCUGAACUUAAGCAUAUCAAUAAGCGGAGGA
rnacentral:misc_RNA from 1 species